UCUCUUCACUAAGCCGCUACAAGUGAAAGAUAUUCAAUGAUAGUUCUUUAGUUCUUUUAUGGAAACAGAGAAAUGGCCACCCAUAUUUCGAUAAUGGAUUCCCCUUCUUCGGUUUGGAUCAACUCAACUCUCCAAAAUCGAAGAGGUUCAAUUUCAGAUUUGAUAUUUUCGUUAACCUUGUUUAGGUUUUGAUUGAUGCUUGCUUAUUGAUCCAUUUGGUUGGAUCGUGCGACUUUCACGCUUGUUCUGGUGCGAUAAUGCAGAGAAGCACGCCGGUGAGAAAGCCACACAUCUCCACUUCCGAUCUCCUCACAUGGUCGGAAGUUCCUACGCCACCACCGUCUCCGCCUCCGGCAACGCUCUCGCCAGGUAACUAUUAAUUAACUCUCAUUUUUCUUUGAUAUAUCAUUUUCAGGAACAAUCCAUUCUACCGAGUCAUUGUUACUGAUAGUAAAACAACAAGAGAUGGCAAGAACCUUGAAGUUUUAGGUUACUAUAAUCCUCGAUCAGGUAAAGAUUCUGAUAAAAGAAUGGGUCUCAAACUUGAAAGAGUGAAGUGAAUCUAUUAUCUCUCCGGGUGCCAAGCAAGGAUUAAUCCCUCUUGCUAUACCAAUGUCAACAAAUAGCUCAGGUACUGUAAUUGCACUGUUAAGGUGGCCCACGGCUCCACCUAAGAUGGAAAUGCCUGUGGUGGAAGUCAGAGAACAUGGAGUGUGGCUUCUAGCUAAGAGUGUAUCUUGGAUGUGUUUGUUUUUUGCUGAGUUUCUUGGGUUUAGGGGGAAGGCUAUUACUUUGAACCUGCCUCCUCACCGAUGAGGAUUAGUUGGAGUCAACUCACUGCUGAUCCUGUAUUUUGAGAAUGUAUCUGACCCAAAAGGAAUUCAGGAAACUGUUGUAGAGUGCUCUCUUUCUUUUCAUGUCACGUUGUACUUAGAGCAUUUCUUGCAUAUGAACUCUGGAAGGAUUAAGCAUGAUUUUGUAUGGCUUGAUGUGAUCUCGGUUCGUGUAGGUUGUUGGGAAAUUGUCUUUUCUUUCGUGAUGGUAUGGUACAUACUCUUUGAUGUAGAUGUACGAGUUUGCCUUUCCACUGUUUUAGGGGUUUAUAUCCCCAUUUGUAUGUGGGAGAUCACAUUAUCAUAAUGAGCACCCAUAUUUAGCUAGAUUAUUUCAUAUAAUUAUGUUGACAAAACU